UCUACAAAAUGAUGCCUUUUCAACAAUUUUAAAGGUCAUGUGCUCACAUGACGCUUAUUCAGAAUUUGGAGAAAAGACGUUAGGGGAACAACUUCGACAGCAAGACAGUAAGAAGAGAGAAGGGAGCCCUUUUAUGUUGAUGCUCUCCCACCAUUGGACGGAGCAGGCCCUGCCCUGCUCCUCUGGCCUAUUAUCAGGGGGUUUAUGUCCCCUGAUGCCAGAACCCUGCCCAGUGUCUGUCCCCAGCCCACAAAGAGGACAAGACCACAUGGCUUCUGGGCAGUGGGGUUGAAGAGUUCACCGACAGUUGGAAGCGUGAAACCCCACUCGAUCUGAGAGCUGACAUUCUCAGGCACUUUGGCAGGUGUGAACGGCACCUGGAAAGCGAGUAUGGACCAACUCCAGGGCAGAAAUCGAUGCUGUGGAGGAAAAGAGAAAGUGUCAAUGCCAUGGGCUCCCAGCUCCUGUGUCCACAGCACUUGGGGGACAAGCUGGAAGCACGAAGAAGGAGUCAGACUCAUCUUGGAUACCUAACCCCCACAGCGCCCGGGGAGAACUGAGCCCUCCGUCACCCUGGCCCACUAGACAGAGAGGAAACAGCCCAGGGAGAUGAAAAGUGCUUCUCCAGGAGCCUCUCUGAGAUGUUUGCAAAGCUUGCAUGAAAACCCAGGGGAUGGAGCCUGGAGCUUCCUCUUCGAACACCACAGUGCUGACAAGUGCUGAGCCAGCCAUUCUGUCCUUUCCUGCUUCCCUGUCCUGUCCCUCUUCUUCAGUUCCAGCCACCAAGGACCAUUUCUAAGUCCUCCAAGGAAGAGAGAUGCAGAGACUUAGUCAUGCCGACCAAAACCUUCGCAUGGUCCUGUCCUACAAAUAGAGACCAACUGGUUCCCCAAUUAUCAGUGAGAGAGCAGAGGAAACCAGAGGUGAGGGCAUCACUUCAGUUGGAGAAAUUUUUAUCCUAGGGAAUUGUUCAUAGACACUCGCCUGGUGGCGAGUAGUCCCCUGGGCCUUCUAAAAUGCCAGGGAAACUCCUGUCAAUUGGGCCCCGCUUAAGGGCUCUGCUUUCCAAAGGUGGAGAGUAAGAAGCAAGGGGAGUUUCUUCUCCGAGGGACUCUUGCUUCCUGGCCCAUCUGGCUGGGCUCGGGGUCUAGAUCCAAAGGGAAAAGGGAGCCCAGACUGAAGCUCUGGGCCCCUUUCGUAAAGAGAGGGGGGAAUAGUUAAUAACCCACAAAUGACUCACAAAUAACAGGAAAGCUGUUUGCAAACAUGUAAAUGCCUAGCAGCCUCCCCCACUCCCCGCUCAGAAAGAAAUGAGCAAGAGACAGAACUCUAGCGCCUUCGGAGAGUCCUCCCGCCAGGCUGUCUCUGCUUCUCCGGGUGUGAGUGGGAAGAGGCUGCCGAGCCCUGAGGGGAAGAACCGAUCCGCACUCACACAGCGCCGCAGUCUCAGCCGGAGGGUCUUCAGCUUUUCUCCCAGGGAGUUCACGUGCUGUUUGAUGUCUGGGUCCUCGUUCUCAGCCUGGGGCAUCACCUCCUCCAAAUAAAACUGGAUCAUCUCGGACAAGGCUUGGCAACCCAGCAAAGGAAGCAGACCCAGCUCCCGGCCUCCCUUCUCUGAGUCACGCUGCAAGCUCGCCUCCCACACGCCCCCCCCGGGCCCUCACCUUAAAGUCCUCCAGCAAGGACCUAGUCAACAAUAUGCUGUGCAGCUCGUCCUUGGUUUGCUGCAAGAAGAACAAAAGGAGAGUGAGCCUGAGGUUUGAGGAAAUAACUGAAAUAAAUGUCUUUCUGAUGCCCUCUUA